rnacentral:rRNA from 1 species
UACGUAGGGGGGCUAGCGUUGUCCGGAUUUAUUGGGCGUAAAGAGCGUGUAGGCGGCCAGGUAGGUCUGCUGUGAAAACUCGAGGCUCAACCUCGAGACGUCGGCGGAAACCAUCUGGCUAGAGUCCGGAAGAGGAGAGUGGAAUUCCUGGUGUAGCGGUGAAAUGCGCAGAUAUCAGGAAGAACACCCGUGGCGAAGGCGCUCUCUGGGACGGUACUGACGCUGAGACGCGAAAGCGUGGGGAGCGAACAGG